ACCCUUGCCGACGGUUCUUUCUUCCUUCUCUCUCAUUCCAUACCCAUUCCUUUCAAACGGUUAGUUCUUUCUUCCCUCUCUCUCAUUCCUUACCUGUUCCUCUCAUCUGUUUUCACUUUGUCACGGAGGCGAAGCAGAGAACCGUGUAGAGUGUUAAAAAAGUUCUGUCAUUUCAGUUGAGAAGGGCUUAAUCCCAUUUGUUUCAUCUCAGAUUUUCUGUCUCGAGGUAAUGCAUUCCUUCCUUCUGUCAUUUCAGUUGAGAAGGGUUUAAUCCCAUUUGUUUCAUCUCAGAUUUUCUGUCUCGAGGUAACCCAUUCCUUCAUUGUUUUGCAUUCGCAUUUACAUUGACGUAAAUAUGUUGUUAGUGUGGGUUUUUUAUGAACUAGGUGUGGCUUAAAUGUUGGCAUUUAGGAGUUGGUACUAAAUUUUUAAAUCUAUUCGUAAUAAAUCAUCAUCAUUUUUUUUCAAUUCCAUGCGUUUUCUGAGUUUUUACUGUUUUAUUUGGAUUGGCAAAUUCUCGAAAAUCUGUUGUUUUGAUAUAAAAUGAAGGCAAGAAUAUGAGUUGGGAAUUGUUUUUGUUGUGGUUUAGAAUUGGGAAAAACAUAUUUUGAAUUGGUUUGCCAAAAAAGGAAUUUUUUUUUUCCCCAAACUGUUUUUGGGUAUUGGGAAACAAUGCAUUUUUAGUGAAACCCAUUUAUUGGAUUGGGUUAUGCAAUGGAUUACCAAAAUGGAACACUUUUUGGGGAUGAUGUAUUUCUUCUGAGAGCGAAAUAAGUGCUUCUGAAAUGGUGAUUUAUAGAUUCGAAAUUACUCAUGUUUUUGGGUUUUUGUGAUAUUCAUGGUUGGUGGGUGCUAACGUUUUCGUUGUUGUUUUUUUAUUUUUUUUUGUAUUUGUUUUAUAUGUAUAGUUUAAAUUCAC
rnacentral:lncRNA from 1 species